rnacentral:lncRNA from 1 species
AGAACAAUUGUCAAAGGAAGUCGAUUAUCUCCUCCGUAGUGGAUGGGUUCCUUGCUUGGAAUUCGAGUUGGAGGUCAUUUUUAAAUAUUUAAAAUUAAAUUAAAUUCCUAUAUAUAUAUAUAUAUAUAUAUAUUGUAAUUAAGUUUUUAAAGUACGUAAUGUUUGAAUAUUAUUCCAUGUAGCACGGAUUCGUGUACCGUGAGCACCACCACUCACCGGGGUACUAUGACGGACGUUACUGGACAAUGUGGAAGCUGCCCAUGUUUGGAUGCACUGAUUCAUCUCAGGUGUUGAAAGAAGUAGAGGAGUGCAAGAAGGAGUACCCAAAUGCAUACAUCCGAAUUAUUGGAUUCGACAACGUCCGUCAAGUGCAGUGCAUCAGUUUCAUUGCCUUCAAGCCACCUUCUGCCUCUACCUAAUUAAUUAAUUAAGCAAGCUACAUUUAUUUAUUUCUGUAUCUUAAUUAAUUUCUCCUCCAUUUUUCCCAUCCAAUUGCAAAUUUACUGUUUUGAAUUCCUUUUCCUUUCCUGUCUGCUUCGAUUUCUGUUUGCGGAUUUCGAAUGACAAUCAUGUAUGAUGAGGAGAUUAUCAAGUAAUAAAAAUUUCUACGUCCAGAUAUAUAGAGGAAUCUCAACCAUGCAUACAUCUAAAUCUAAGUACUUGAGAUUUCCAUGCCAAUGAAUAUUUAUAUUUAGAGAGA